rnacentral:rRNA from 1 species
AUGACCUUGCCAUCUAUUGCUUGUUUAACAAAAGGGCUAGUUAAAACCAGAAAAGCUUCUUCAUAUCCAAUGGUUGACAGGUUGCUGCGACUAGUUAUCACUCUCCCAGUCUCAACGGCAACUGCAGAGCAGGCUUUUUCGGCUAUGAAAAUAUUCAAGACACGUCUUCGGAGUAAAAUGAGAGAUGAUUUGCUUCGCCAUUGCAUGAUAAUUUACAAAAAAAAUUAG